rnacentral:rRNA from 1 species
UGCAGUCGCACGAGAACGCUUCAGCUUGCUGAAGCAAGUAAAGUGGCGCACGGGUGAGUAACGCGUGGGUAAUCUACCCUUGAAUUGGGGAUAACCCGCCGAAAGGCGGGCUAAUACCGAAUGACAUCUUGAAAACGUAUGUUUUCAGGAUCAAAGAUGGCCUCUACAUGUAAGCUAUUGUUUGAGGAUGAGCCCGCGUACCAUUAGCUUGUUGGUAGGGUAAUGGCCUACCAAGGCUACGAUGGUUAGCUGGUCUGAGAGGAUGAUCAGCCACACUGGAACUGACACACGGUCCAGACUCCUACGGGAGGCAGCAGUGAGGAAUUUUGCGCAAUGGGGGAAACCCUGACGCAGCAACGCCGCGUGAGUGAUGAAGGCUUUCGGGUCGUAAAGCUCUGUCAAGUGGGAAGAAAUCAUAUAGAAUUAAUACUGCUAUAUAUUGACGGUACCACUGAAGGAAGCACCGGCUAACUCCGUG